CCCUGAGAUCAUGACCUGAGCUGAGAUCAAGAGUUAGACACCCAACUGACUGAGCCUGCUUUUAAAAAGCAACAUCGUUCCUAUUGGUCCUAAAGCUUAAAAAUGAGGAAAAGCUCGAAGAUAACUCACAGCCAUUGAGCAUGAUUCUUAGGUUCGCUCUGAACCAGGCGAAUACCAUGUAACACGUUGUGACAUCAUACGUUUUUCGUUUUCCCUACUCUCGAUAUCGAUGCAACCACAUCUCAGUCAAGAAGGCCAAUCAGGAGCAGAUGUCGGAAGAUCCAUGCCCUUUUUAGUGCAAAGAAACCAUGAUGCAUCAAAAAGAGGCUGGAGAGAAUAAAGAACAGAAAGCAGCUGCCUUUGGGAACACCUAGAAUAAAUUCUAGAAGAAAUGUGCAGAGUCAUUCGGUUACCAACCUGAUGUAGAGAGAAUGGUUUUCUUUUCUAUCCGCCUACACCUCGGCUACGUGAUCAAAAUGCUACAGAAUCACCGGGGAGCGCUUCCCAGCCCCAACCACACACCCACUCCAUUCGGAGCCUGGGUCCUGUGUUGGAACGUGGUCAAUGUAAAGACCAGGGGGCUACACCAUCAUCGCCUCAAAUUCCAGGGCAAGGUGAACUGUUGGAGUUGCCACCUCUGUUAGUGCUCCCAGGUUUUAAACAGGCUGCAGGGCUUCCUCCCCUCACCCCAGUUUCAGACUAUAUGUAGACAAGAACUAUGUGAGAACCUUCUCUUCAUCAGGGAUCCUGACAAGAGGUGCAGAGAUGGGCGCCUGGGUGGCUUAGUCCUUUGAGUCUGCCUUCCGCUCAGGUCGUGAUCUCAGGGUCCUGGGAUCGAGCCCCACUUUGCAUCAGACUCCCUGCUCAGGAAGGAUCUGCUUCUCCCUUGGC